rnacentral:rRNA from 1 species
CAGAGCCUGAAUCAGUGUGUGUGUUAGUGGAAGCGUCUGGAAAGGCGCGCGAUACAGGGUGACAGCCCCGUACACAAAAAUGCACAUGCUGUGAGCUCGAUGAGUAGGGCGGGACACGUGGUAUCCUGUCUGAAUAUGGGGGGACCAUCCUCCAAGGCUAAAUACUCCUGACUGACCGAUAGUGAACCAGUACCGUGAGGGAAAGGCGAAAAGAACCCCGGCGAGGGGAGUGAAAAAGAACCUGAAACCGUGUACGUACAAGCAGUGGGAGCACGCUUAGGCGUGUGACUGCGUACCUUUUGUAUAAUGGGUCAGCGACUUAUAUUCUGUAGCAAGGUUAACCGAAUAGGGGAGCCGAAGGGAAACCGAGUCUUAACUGGGCGUUAAGUUGCAGGGUAUAGACCCGAAACCCGGUGAUCUAGCCAUGGGCAGGUUGAAGGUUGGGUAACACUAACUGGAGGACCGAACCGACUAAUGUUGAAAAAUUAGCGGAUGACUUGUGGCUGGGGGUGAAAGGCCAAUCAAACCGGGAGAUAGCUGGUUCUCCCCGAAAGCUAUUUAGGUAGCGCCUCGUGAAUUCAUCUCCGGGGGUAGAGCACUGUUUCGGCAAGGGGGUCAUCCCGACUUACCAACCCGAUGCAAACUGCGAAUACCGGAGAAUGUUAUCACGGGAGACACACGGCGGGUGCUAACGUCCGUCGUGAAGAGGGAAACAACCCAGACCGCCAGCUAAGGUCCCAAAGUCAUGGUUAAGUGGGAAACGAUGUGGGAAGGCCCAGACAGCCAGGAUGUUGGCUUAGAAGCAGCCAUCAUUUAAAGAAAGCGUAAUAGCUCACUGGUCGAGUCGGCCUGCGCGGAAGAUGUAACGGGGCUAAACCAUGCACCGAAGCUGCGGCAGCGACGCUGAUGCGUUGUUGGGUAGGGGAGCGUUCUGUAAGCCUGCGAAGGUGUGCUGUGAGGCAUGCUGGAGGUAUCAGAAGUGCGAAUGCUGACAUAAGUAACGAUAAAGCGGGUGAAAAGCCCGCUCGCCGGAAGACCAAGGGUUCCUGUCCAACGUUAAUCGGGGCAGGGUGAGUCGACCCCUAAGGCGAGGCCGAAAGGCGUAGUCGAUGGGAAACAGGUUAAUAUUCCUGUACUUGGUGUUACUGCGAAGGGGGGACGGAGAAGGCUAUGUUGGCCGGGCGACGGUUGUCCCGGUUUAAGCGUGUAGGCUGGUUUUCCAGGCAAAUCCGGAAAAUCAAGGCUGAGGCGUGAUGACGAGGCACUACGGUGCUGAAGCAACAAAUGCCCUGCUUCCAGGAAAAGCCUCUAAGCAUCAGGUAACAUCAAAUCGUACCCCAAACCGACACAGGUGGUCAGGUAGAGAAUACCAAGGCGCUUGAGAGAACUCGGGUGAAGGAACUAGGCAAAAUGGUGCCGUAACUUCGGGAGAAGGCACGCUGAUAUGUAGGUGAAGUCCCUUGCGGAUGGAGCUGAAAUCAGUCGAAGAUACCAGCUGGC